CCCAGGUCCACUCCUCCAUAAUCUCAUUUAAGGGCUGGUAGUCAAGGGGAAAAUAUUUCUAUUUGGAGAUAAUUUCCUUCUGAGAGCUUUUCACUGUGUUCUUGCCUUUGAGACAGAUCAUCUAUACAGAGUCAACCAGAGGCAUCAAACACCUGCGUCUUUGAACAGCCCUCUAUCUCCCAGAAGCUACAUCUCCAAGAUUUCCUGCCUGAGCAAAUAAUCCAUAGUUGAACAUGUGGGUGGAACACAAAACUCUCUGACAGGAUGCUUUGUGGUAAGCUUAGCCACAGCUGCACAUUCUGCCAGUGCUGUCUGGAACCAAUUUAGCAGCCAGCCUUCCUUCUGUGCUUCCUCACACAGGAUCCAGUUUAGCCUCUCCAGAAAGGGAAAACUGCCCUAGCCAGGACACAAAUUACUUGAUGUCUCUCGAAGAUUCAGCAGCAGAAUUCCUGAAGCUGGCACGGGAGCCACAAUCAUCAUCAGAGCCUGAAGACUCAUCUAAGAAAGGCACGUUGCUGAUCUGUGUGGCUUUCUGGAAAACAGACCUAUACGGUCAGCAUGUGAGGGAGGAGUUUCUCCAAGACAAUCCCUGUUCACACUGCUUUGACCAAUACUGUUCCAGGGCUCCUUAUUUUUCACCCUUUCACUUUCUAGGCUACAACCACUAUCACUACUAGGUUUCUACAAUCUCAUGGUGCAAGUUGCAACUUCCUGUACCAAAACUUGCUGAAGCAUUCUGUAUUUCCUUAUAAAUUUAUCAUUUCCUGUUCCUUCUACAUUCUUUUGAUCUCCACUCCUUAGCAUUCUUUAAUUUUCUUUUCCUCUCUGCACAGCUUCAAUCCAUACUAAUUCAAACUAGUGGUAGCCCUGGCCCACGCUUUUCAUAAGAGGGAAAACUGAAAUAACUGCUUACCCCCUUCAAUGUAGUGUAGACUGGAACCGUGAUGUUUCUAUAGAUGAGACAGGUAAAUGGCCCAGAAGCUGAAUAUGAGAAAUUUGAAACUAGAAAAAUUCAGAGAGAGAACAACAACAACAACAAAAUCUAAUGGUGAAAUGAAACAGGUUUUAAUGAAGAGGUACACAUAUGUUUGUACCUCGUGUAGCCACUUGGAACACAAUGAAAGACUGCCAUCCUGGACUGUUUGGCCUCAGAAAGCCUAGAGGAUGCGUUACUUGUUACAUACUACUAUCAGAGGCACCUGCAAUGCUCCUUUCAUUUAGCCUGUAAUACGUCUUACCCCCCCAUGCUCCCGAUGGUGUGAUGGCAGUAGAGCAAACCAAUUCUGAACAGGUUAAACCCAAAAUGGGCAAUUUGUUCCCUGCUUCACUGGGAACUUUUUCAUGGCUACCUUUCCUAGCUCACAAACAGGGAAAAGUAACAGUGAAAUCACGUGGCCAAAAGCAUAUCCCUGACACACAGGGCCAGAACAGUUUCAGUAAAAGAGAGAGAACGGAAUCCCCUGAAGAUGUUACUGAAUACAGGGGCUUAAACAGCUCAGCAACAGUCAUUGCCCUUUCUUUCUCUGUUACGGUUAUCUGUUAAAUCAAAUUUACUUUGAAAAAAGGCAAGUAACUGAAGAAAUGUAAAUGGCCAGUUGUUCAGGUCCCUACACUGUCACUGUAAUUGCUCUCUAAGAAUGGAUCUUGUCUAGAACUUACAACAGCUUGGAGUGUCAUUCACAGUGGCCACUUCAGACAUCCUCAUGCCAGACUUGGCCACAGCAUAGAUUCGGCUCUCCUGGAACAAUACAAUACCAUGAACAGCAAUGGUCAGAUAAAACACCAGUCCUGCAAAAAAGAAGUGCUCAUGUCACAGGAUCACAUAUCCCUUUUGGGCAGGAAGGAAUGGCACUCCAAGAAAAAUUGUUCCAUUCCAGCAGAUGUUGGGUAAGUAACUGUUAGGGGAAAUAUGCAUACGUGUAAUUCCCUGAAUCACAACAGAUUUGGUGGACAAGAGUGCUGGAGGUGACAAUUGCAAAACGGAGCACAUACAUAAAAUUGUAAAUAAGUAACUACAUCUCAGCUUAGAAUCGUUUUUUUUUCCUCUUCUUUUAUAAACAAUGCAUUGAAAUAAUCAAGAACAACUCUAAAACAGGAUAAUUUAUUGAGCCACCACCUGCAAAGGAUUUCUCUUCUCCGAUAAGGGAAUGCAGGAAACACCUAGAAUGAUCUUGAUGACCUUGUGACUUAGCUACAGCAACAUAAAGAACUUUCAGUUCUAAAGAUCUUCACAAAUUAUUUUCAAUGGAGGAAACUUAAACCUGUAACUAAAAGCAAAGUUCCAACUAAAACAUUAACCAAUGUAAAAUUGAUAGAAUCAAGGCUGGAAAUCUAAAUCCUCUUGCUGCUCCUUAUAAUGUACAAUCACUAUCAAGUGUCAGGCAACACGUGCAUAUACGUUACAGUACCUGAUGACUGUUAAGUUGAGCAUGCCAAAAAACAGAAGUAACAGGCUUAGUAUUAUUUCUAUAUUUAAGCAGUGUUAUUCAAUCUCUAAUGAAAUACAUGCAUUUUUUCCCCCAGAUACUAUUCAGGAUACAAAAUCACAGAGAGUGGCUAAGGCUGGCAAGAACCUCUGGGUCCAUCAGGCUCAACUCCUGUUCCUUCAGGAGCAUCCAGAAGGCGGUUCUCAGGCCUAAGUCUAGGUGGCUUCUGAACAUCUCCAAGGAGGAGACCCCACAGCCUCUGGGCAGCCUGUGCCAGUGCUCCAUCACCUGCACAGAAAAGAGCUGCUUCUCAGUGUUCAGUCAAUCUUUAAAUCUUCUGUGUUCCAGUUUGUGCCCACUGCCUCAUGUCCUGUCACAAAAGAGCACCAAAGAGCUUGGAUCCAUCUUCUUUGCACUCUCCUUUCAGGUAUUUAUGCACAUUGGAAAGAUCUCCCAAGCCUUCUCCCUCAGCCUAAGGGACGUUCCUGUCCCUUAACCAUUUUAUUAGGCCUUCACUGGACUUGCUUCAGCAGCACAGUACUCCAGGUAAGGAUCAUCUGCCUCAGCCAGCUGUCAGUGCUGUUCCUAAUGCAUCCUAGGAUACCACUGACUUUGGCCACAGGGACACGCUGCUGGCUCAUGGCAGCCUGAUGUCCUGGUCCUUAUUUGCAGAGCUGCUUUCCAGCAGGUCAGCCCCAGGCUUUUUAUUCCUUCCUGUGAGCAGGAUUCUGCACUUUGUUGAAUUUCAAGAGGUUCCUCUCAGCCUAGCUCUUCAGUCUGUCAAGAUCCUUCUGAAUGGCAGCACAGCACCCUGUGGCACCACCCACUCCACUCAGUUUCAGCAGCAAACUAGCUGAGGAGAAGCUUUAUCACUUCAACCAAGUCACUUAAUGAUUAAUCUAUUAAUCUAUUUAAUAAUCAUACUAAGAUACACUUCCAUGAUUCUGUUCUGAAGAGAAAAUACUGGAUUUUCUCAUAAACUUUUCUUUCACUAUGCUGUCAAGUUUUGUUCCCAACAUGGUUCCAUAUGGACUGAAUACAGGGAAGUUCUUUCAGAAAAACAGCUGCCUAUACUGGGAUUUAAACUGAUAUCAUAAAGGACACAUCCAAAGAUCAAAAAUUAAGAUUUCAUAGUAAAAAUAUUAUAAAACAUGAGAAAUAACACUGCACCUUCAAUUUGCAUCUUCAAUAAGCCACUUGUUUGUCAACACCUUUAAAAAAGCAAAUUGAAAAGAAUGGAAUUAUCUCCUAGGAUACUAUAUUGAUUUUUACCAAGUAUCAGUAUCAGCUGGAUUGACAGAUUAGCAAAAGGAAAGCCAUCUGAAUGAAAUAUUAAGAACAUGACAACAGAACUAAGGAUAAAGUUUCGAUGACUCAUAAGGAUGAAACACAAUGCAACACUUCUUGACUUUCUUUUUUUUUUCUCUUUACUUUCAUUUUUUUUCCUGUCCGUAUCUUGAGAACUCUUUUUCUUUGACUAUUUUUUUCUUUAUAAAGGGAAAAGAAUAAGAAAACUAUCAAUGGAAGUAACAUGCCCCAUGAUUGAAACUGUCAGAAUAAGUGGUUCAGAAAUGAAAUCUAUGUCCCCAGGAAACAGUUGUCUGAUAUCAAAAGCUGCUCUAUUUAGCCACUGGGCACCUCUCAAAGAUGAACAGCACCUCUUGGACUGUUGUCCCUGCAUUUCUUACCCAGGAAGGAAAUCUGUGCAGAGGUGGUGUGGGAGGUUUACCUCCUGGUUCAAGGACGCCAGCCUUAGAACUCACAACUUCUCUCUGUUCUGUAGGUGGAACAUGCUGUAACGGCAGAUGCUGACACAACUAGGGGUGGCUCAGCAGUUUGAAGACGGCCCUCAAAGAUGCUCAUUAUUUCUCCUGAGAAAGAAGAAUCUAA